rnacentral:rRNA from 1 species
UACGUAGGGUGCAAGCGUUAAUCGGAAUUACUGGGCGUAAAGCAUGCGCAGGCGGUUUUGUAAGUCAGAUGUGAAAUCCCCGGGCUUAACCUGGGAACUGCGUUUGAAACUACAAGGCUAGAGUGUGGCAGAGGGGGGUGGAAUUCCACGUGUAGCAGUGAAAUGCGUAGAGAUGUGGAGGAACACCGAUGGCGAAGGCAGCCCCCUGGGUUAACACUGACGCUCAGGCACGAAAGCGUGGGGAGCAAACAGG